UUUUUGAGACACAGUUUCACUUUGUCACCCAGGCUGGAGUGCAGUGAUGCGAUCUCGGCUCACCGCAACCUCAGCCUCCCGGGUUCAAGUGAUUCUCCUGCCUCAGCCUUCCGAGUAGCUGGGACUACAGGCACGUGCCACCACGCCUGGCUAAUUUUUUGUAUUUUUAGCAGAGACGGUGUUUCACCAUGUUAGCCAGGAUGGUCUUGAUCUCCUGACCUCAUGAUACACCCACCUCGCCCUCCCAAAUUGCUGGGAUUACCAGCAUUAGCCACUGCACCCAGCCCCUAGUUUUAUUAUCUCCAGAGAGUAAAACUUAAGUCUUCUACCGGAGUGAGGAGGGAAUCUCAGGUUGUGGUAGUGGUGAUAUAAUUGAACAGUCCUUCAACCAGAUGUAUCUAGGUUGCCAAUUACUGAGCCCUCUGGGGGUUCUGCUGUGCAAAUCAUAUGAUUUCUUGGCUUUCUCUCCUGCCAAUUUAGGAUUGGCUUUCUUGAGUCUGCUUUAGUCAUUACCAGUUGCAUAAGUGCUUUCCAGCUUCCAGUAUUUGUUUUCUCAUCUCCCAUUCUCUUGGCCUGACUGGUUUAUGUCUCUUUGAAAUUCUUUUGCUAAAGGGGGGUCAGAGGCAUGAAUUUAUGUCUUGUUUCAUCAAAUAUAUCUUGUCCACCAGUACUUUUCUUUCACCAUUUUAGUGCACUGCGUUACGUUUUAAUUAUUUGCCUCCUUCACCAGAGUUUUUCAGAAUGAAAGACCAUAUCCUAUUCCUCUCUAAAUCCCCUGGACCAAGGCCUGGCACAGCACUGAUACUCAAGGGAUGGAAUGAGUGGAUGGACCAACAAAUGAGUAACAGACAAAUCUGCAUCUAUUAAUCCUUUUCCCAGUGCUAUACAUAUGAACAUUAUUUGCCCGAAUGAAAGACAGUCCUUAUUUAUAGAGUUUAUUCAUGCUUACUAAUCCCAGCAGGAACUUUCCCUGACAUAUUUUCUGAUAAAAUAUUGCUUCUGGAAUUUUUACAGGUAAAACAUCUAUAGGAACUCAGAGGGCUAGUCUGAGUGAUCCAUGCACUGAUAUUUAUAAUAGCUUUUUGAGUACUUUCUAAACAGGGAGUGCACAAAUGUACACUGUACACAGAAGGACAAUGAAGACGUUCCCCCCUUAUCGGGGAGCAAUCAAAUAUGACUGUUGCCCCUGAAAGGAGAUGAAGCAAGAGAAACCUAAAGAGAUGGGGUGGGAAUUAACUAUUCUGUUCCAGCAUGAAUGCAAGUGGAGUGUUACCAUAUUUUAUUCCUUAAACCAAGAAAGGAAACAGAAGAGGAAGAAAAAGCAAUUAAUAAACAUUAGGAAAAUGCAAACCAAAUCUGCAAUGCCAUACUACUUUACACCUACCAGAAUAUCUCCACGCAACAAGACAUGUAACAAGUGCUGCUGAAGAUGUGGAAAAAUAGGAACCCUCAUAGACGGCUCACGGGAAUGGGGCAGCCACUUUGGAAAACAUCCUGGCAGUUCCUCAAAGGUUAAACAGAGACUUAUCAUGUGAUAGCAAUUCCACUCCUAGCUAUGUCCAUACAAAAACAUGUAUAAGACUGUUCAUAACAACAUAAUUCUUAAUAGCUAGGUGCAGUGGCUCACACCUGUAAUCCUAGCACUUUAAGUGGCUGAGGUGAGAGGAUUACUUGAGGCUAGGAGUUUGAAACCAGCCUGAGCAACACAGUAAGACCCCAUCUCUACAAAAAAUUAAAAAAUUAGCCAGGCUGGUGGUAUGCAUCUGUAGUCCUAGCUACUUGGGAGGCUGAGGUGGGAGGAUCGCUUGAGCCCAGGGUUCAAGGCUGCAGUGAGCCAUGAUCAUACCACUGUAAUCCAGCCUGGAUGACAGAAAUCCUGUGUGUCUUAAAAAAAAAAAAAAAAAAAAGGCAAUAUAAUUCAUAAUAAAGAGUGGAACAGUUCAAAUGUCCAUUACCUGAUGAGUGGAUAAACAAAAUAUAGUAUAUCCAUAUAAUGGAACAUUAUUCAGCGGUAAGAAGAAAUGAAGAACUUAUAUGCUACAACAUGAAUGAACCUUAAAAACAUUAUUAGGAGGCUAAGGCGGGUGGAUCACCUGAGGUCAGGAGUUUGAGACCAGCCUGCCCAACAUGGUGAAACCCUGUCUCUACUAAAAAUCCAAAAAUUAUCUGGGCAUGGCGGAGGACUCCUGUAAUCCCAGCUACUCGGGAGGCUGAGGCAGGAGAAUCGCUUCAAUCCAGGAGGUGGAGGUUGCAGUGAGCCAAGAUUGCAGCACUGUUCUCCAGUCUUGGUGACAGAAGCGAGGCUCCGUCCCAAAAAAACAAAACAAAAACAUUAUUAUAAGUGACAGAAGCUAGAUGCAAAACACCAUAUAUUGUAUGACCCCAUUUAUAUGUCUUGAAUUACUGCAGAGCAAAAACAUUCAGGGAAUUCUCCUCUCUGGAGGUUAAUGCCAUUUCCUUUGCCUAGGCUUGAAUUUUUUUUCUUCUUCAAAUUUUAUUUUUAGGGAGAGCAUUAACAUUUUAUGUUAUUUUUUUCUUUUUAUUUUUUAGGACCCUGGUUUGAUAUGUACCUAUCUGCUCGAGACUCCGUUGUUCUGAACUUUAAUCCAUUUAUGGCUUUCAAUCCUGACUCAAAAUCUGAGUAUAAUGACCAGCUCACCCGGGCAACCAACAUGACUGUUUCUGCCAUCCGGUUUCUGAAGACACUCCGGGCUGGCCUUCUGGAGCCAGAAGUGUUCCACUUGAACCCUGCAAAAAGUGACACUGACACCUUCAAGAGACUCAUACGCUUUGUGCCUUCCUCUCUGUCCUGGUAUGGGGCCUACCUGGUCAAUGCAUAUCCCCUGGAUAUGUCCCAGUAUUUUCGGCUUUUCAACUCAACUCGUUUACCCAAACCCAGUCGGGAUGAACUCUUCACUGAUGACAAGGCCAGACACCUCCUGGUCCUAAGGAAAGGAAAUUUUUAUAUCUUUGAUGUCCUGGAUCAAGAUGGGAACAUUGUGAGCCCCUCGGAAAUCCAGGCGCAUCUGAAGUACAUUCUCUCAGACAGCAGCCCUGCCCCCGAGUUUCCUCUGACAUACCUGACCAGUGAGAACCGAGACAUCUGGGCAGAGCUCAGGCAGAAGCUGAUGAGUAGUGGCAAUGAGGAGAGCCUGAGGAAAGUGGACUCGGCAGUGUUCUGCCUCUGCCUAGAUGAAUUCCCCAUUAAGGACCUUGUCCACUUGUCCCACAAUAUGCUGCAUGGGGAUGGCACAAACCGCUGGUUUGAUAAAUCCUUUAACCUCAUUAUCGCCAAGGAUGGCUCUGCUGCCGUCCACUUUGAGCACUCUUGGGGUGAUGGUGUGGCAGUGCUCAGAUUUUUUAAUGAAGUAUUUAAAGACAGCACUCAGACCCCUGCCGUCACUCCACAGAGCCAGCCAGCUACCACUGACUCUACUGUCACUGUGCAGAAACUCAGCUUCAAGCUGACUGAUGCCUUAAAGACUGGCAUCACAGCUGCUAAGGAAAAGUUUGAUGCCACCAUGAAAACCCUCACUAUUGACUGCAUCCAGUUUCAGAGAGGAGGCAAAGAAUUCCUGAAGAAGCAAAAGCUGAGCCCUGACGCAGUUGCCCAGCUGGCAUUCCAGAUGGCCUUCCUGCGGCAGUACGGGCAGACAGUGGCCACCUACGAGUCCUGUAGCACUGCUGCAUUCAAGCACGGCCGCACUGAGACCAUCCGCCCGGCCUCCAUCUAUACAAAGAGGUGCUCUGAGGCCUUUGUCAGGGAGCCCUCCAGGCACAGUGCUGGUGAGCUUCAGCAGAUGAUGGUUGAGUGCUCCAAGUACCAUGGCCAGCUGACCAAAGAAGCAGCAAUGGGUGAGGCAGGGGUGGGGAGCAUGCCCUUGGGUCUUGUCUUCAGUGCUUGGCUAAGCAAGCCUAAAUCAUUCUACUCCAAAUCUGAUUUCUACCCCUUCACUAGGUUUAAUCCAUCGCCAACUCCCCAAAUUUUUCUUUUCUACCCUAGCAGUCUGAACAGCCACACUAGCCACUAGGGAUCAGAAUGUUCUUGCCUCCUAAGCAGGGGUGGGGAAAUGCAUGUGAC
rnacentral:sRNA from 1 species